CUCUCACCCAGUUUGAUCAGGAGCUGAUAGGGAGCAAUUCCUCCUCCACAAUUCCUGGGAAAGCUCCCCCUCAGGAGUCUGAGCAGUCACUCAGCUCCUCCCACACCCAGAACCCUUCCUGCCCCAGCUGUUGGGGAGCAGAGUCCAGCUCCUCCACUGGAGUGUCUGGCUCCCCAGGGCUCAGCCUCUGACUCAGCCCACAGCUGCCCAUCUGGGGAAUUGCUCCCCACCCACAGCACAGCAGGUCAGGGCUUUCCUCCUGCAGAGGACCCCCUGGACAGCACACCCAGCCCAGGAAGAAGAGAGGGGGCAGCUGGCUGUCAGCAUUGCCUCUGUGUAACUGCAGUGACCUCUUCAUGGCAUCAGAGUGGCGGCCUCCCAGUGCAGUGGAGUCUUGGCCUGGGCACCUGCUGGGAACCAGAGGGAAGGGAGGAGCUGGGAGCAGCCUCUGCAGACAGGAGUGGACCAAGGGCUGCCUGUGCCCGGGCCACUGUGUGAAAUGCCCUGAAACUUGGAUGGGAGAAACUCACACUGCAGUUGAGAAACACUGAAGGCCUCACUGCUGUGGGCCUGGUAAUUUAGUUUUACUGCCUGCAUAGUGGAGCCCAUAUGCAGGUGGCAACCCUGAGGGCUCCCCUCAAACUGUGCACCCUGCACUGCUGGACACUGGGGGUUGCAGGCACAGGAGGCCUCAGACUUCCCUGCGUCCUUUGUGGCUGUGGAACCUGUUCUGAUGGACACCAAGUCACUGACUCCUCCUAAGCUGCAGGGGCAGGGCCAGUUCCUUUCCCCAAAUGCAGAGGCUGCCUCAGCAGCUGGCUGGGAUUCUCCAGGAUCCAGAGUGAGGCUGGGGGUCCACAUCAGAGCCAGCAAACUGCAGGGUUCCAAGGAUUGGACCCCAGGUGCACCUGGAGUCCCCAGGGAGCUCUGCCUACAGCCCUGUCCCAGGCUCACAGGGCAGCUUGCUCCUCCCAGCUCACUGGGCCCUGGGGCCACCACACAACUCAGCCCCUCUCCCUUCCUGCAGGGAGCAGUUACCCCUCUCCGUCUGACCCCCACCUUCAGCCCCUGGGUACCCAGAGCACCUGCCAAGUGUUUGCCUGGAAGGCCAGCCCUCUCCUUGCCUAGAGGAGCAGGGAGGGGGUGCAAGGGCAGCUCCCCCCGCCAUGCUGAGCCCGCAGAGCCUGUGCCCUGCUCUC
rnacentral:lncRNA from 1 species